rnacentral:snoRNA from 1 species
UAGUAUCUAUUUGACAGACCUGGAGCAGUUACUCUCUGCUGCUAAGGUUCCAGGGCAGAUGCAAGAAAAAAGGGUCCUCACACUUUCUAUCUGUCUGACUGUGGCAGCUGAGAUUGAAUAGAGGAAUACAGUG